CCCUUAGAUGUUCUGGGCCGCACGCGCGCUACACUGAUUCAUGCAACAAGUUUUGUCCUUGGCUGAUAGGCCUGGGUAAUCUUUGAACGUGAAUCGUGAUGGGGAUAGAUGAUUGCAAUUAUUCAUCUUCAACGAGGAAUUCCUAGUAAACGCAAGUCAUCAGCUUGCAUUGAUUACGUCCCUGCCCUUUGUACACACCGCCCGUCGCACCUACCGAUUGAAUGGUCCGGUGAAAUCUUCGGAUCUGAGAGAUGUCUGAUUAAUUUCGGACGCCUUUUGGAAAAGUUGCUUAAACCUUACCAUUUAGAGGAAGGUGAAGUCGCAACA
rnacentral:rRNA from 1 species